CGAAGGGGCGUAGCGUUGUUCGGAAUUACUGGGCGUAAAGCGCACGUAGGCUGUGUCGCAAGUCAGGGGUGAAAUCCCAGAGCUUAACUCUGGAACUGCCUUUGAAACUGCGAUGCUAGAAUCUCAGAGGGGGUAGCGGAAUUCCAAAUGUAGGGGUGAAAUCCGUAGAUAUUUGGAGGAACACCGGUGGCGAAGGCGGCUACCUGGAUGAGUAUUGACGCUGAGGUGCGAAAGCGUGGGGGAUCAAACAGGAUU
rnacentral:rRNA from 1 species